rnacentral:lncRNA from 1 species
CAAGGCCGACCAGCUCGCCUCCUCCGUCCUCUCCUGGUUCACCCGCAACGCCGCCAGAGGUCUAUACGGUGGUCUCCAUCCAUCUCCAUCUCCAUCUCCAUCCUGCUGCACUGCAUUGCAUUGCAUUGCAUUGCAUUAUUGUUGUCUUUUAAAAUUAAUUAAUCUGGAAACGAAAAUCGUCCCAUCUGUUUUGAUGAAUUACGAUUGAUUUUUUUUGUUUGUUUCGUUUGUGCGCGAUCGUCGAUGGAUUGAAUAUUACUGAAGGCGCCGGCCCGCUCGACCAGGACGAGCUGGAGGAGUUGCUGUACGACGGCAUGGACGAGUCCUUCAACGCAGACAUUUUUCGGAACUAAACAAGACGAAUGAAACGCUAGCAGCAGCAGCUUUUGGAGGCUAGUUGAGGGCUUGAUGAGGCCGAAUCGGAGUCGGCAUCUAUAUUAUGAGUCCAGGCACAUAUAUAGGUUUCUUCAUCGCUGUCCUAGUCACGUACGUGACUGGCAAAUCAUCUGGAAAAUGAAGCUCGCUCGCUCUUGUUUGCUUCCAGCGAGCAGAGAUGGCGGAUCAUGGCAACUAGAUCCUCGAGACCACCGUCCGUAUUGUACGAUACCAAAGCCUGUGUCCAGUCGAUCCCGUCUUGCUUUGUUUUUGGCAGGAUCGAUAUAUAUGAUGAUGAUCUAUCUGGGGACGACUAACUAAGGAAUGGGUCGCCGGAUAAUUAAGCAAGCUUUAGUGAAGUCAAGUGGAUCGGCGCAGCAAGUGACAAGUGAUUAUUACAUAGUAUAUAUAAGUACUGGUUACUCCAAUACAAUGCUGAGGUUUGGCCAUACGUAAUUAAGUUCGAUCAGUGAGCAGCAGCCGGCCAGCUGCAACAAGCUAGGUUUAGUGAAGGUGCUGCAGGCAGUAUCAGUCAUGUCACCAGUUGGCCUCGAUCGAUGAUCUCAGAUCUGCUUGUGUUUAGUGCUACAAGUAGGUUUGAUUUUGUCGCUUGCGUGGCGAUGCUAGAGAGAAUAUAAUUCAGAGCUCAC